UUUCCAGAGAUGGAUUGGUGCCUUCGGGAACUCUGACACAGGUGCUGCAUGGCUGUCGUCAGCUCGUGUCGUGAGAUGUUGGGUUAAGUCCCGUAACGAGCGCAACCCUUGUCCUUAGUUACCAGCACGUAAUGGUGGGCACUCUAAGGAAACUGCCGGUGACAAACCGAAGAAAGGUGGGGAUAACUUCAAUUCAUCAUGGCCCUUACAGCCUGGGCUACACACUUGCUACAAUGGUCGGUACAGAGGGUUGCCAAGCCGCGAGGUGGAGCUAAUCUCACAAAACCGAUCGUAGUCCGGAUCGCA
rnacentral:rRNA from 1 species